rnacentral:rRNA from 1 species
GACGAACGCUGGCGGCGUGCUUAACACAUGCAAGUCGAACGGAAAGGCCCUGCUUUUGUGGGGUGCUCGAGUGGCGAACGGGUGAGUAACACGUGAGUAACCUGCCCUUGACUUUGGGAUAACUUCAGGAAACUGGGGCUAAUACCGGAUCGGAGCUCCUGUUGCAUGGUGGGGGUUGGAACGUUUCGGCGGUUGGGGAUGGACUCGCGGCUUAUCAGCUUGUUGGUGGGGUAGUGGCUUACCAAGGCUUUGACGGGUAGCCGGCCUGUGAGGGUGGCCGGCCACAUUGGGCCUGAGGUACGGCCCAGACGCCUACGGGAGGCAGCAGUGGGGAAUAUGGCACAAUGGGCGGAAGCCUGAGGCAGCAACGCCGCGUGCGGGAUGACGGCCUGCGGGUUGUAAACCGCUGUCGCCUGUGACGAAGCGUGAGUGACGGUAAUGGGUAAAGAAGCACCGGCUAACUACGUG